CCUACGGGAGGCUGCAGUGAGGAAUAUUGGUCAAUGGCCGAGAGGCUGAACCAGCCAAGUCGCGUGAGGGAAGACGGCCCUACGGGUUGUAAACCUCUUUUGUCUGGGAGCAAAGCGAACCACGUGUGGUUCAUUGAGAGUACCCGAAGAAAAAGCAUCGGCUAACUCCGUGCCAGCAGCCGCGGUAAUACGUAGGGGGCAAGCGUUAUCCGGAUUUACUGGGUGUAAAGGGAGCGUAGACGGUGCAGCAAGUCUGAUGUGAAAGGUCGGGGCCAAACCCCGGGACUGCAUUGGAAACGGUUGAAUUGGAGUACAGAAGAGGUAAGCGGAAUUCCUAGUGUAGGGGGGAAAGGCGUAGAUAUUAGGAGGAACACCAGUGGCGAAGGCGGCUUACUGGACUGUAACUGACGUUGAGGCUCGAAAGCGUGGGGAGAAAACAGGAUUAGAAACCCCAGUAGUC
rnacentral:rRNA from 1 species